rnacentral:lncRNA from 1 species
CAAAAUUCAAAUUUGGAGGUGGCAAUAUCAACUCCCUGUAAUAGAAUAUAUCCCUAUAUCUACAACUAUAUCCUCUUUAUACAUGCGCUCUCUGUCUUGGUGGCGCAUCUGUUAAUCGAUUUCUCAAUCGUUUUCCAUAAGAGGAAGAAAUCGGUUUCUGAACCUUUUUUUCCCCCCCCUGUUUUUUGGCAUUUGCUGGGUCUGAUAAUACUCGCAUAUCAAAUAAAGCGACUAUUGAGAAAAAGGAAAGCGAAAGAAAAGAAAAAAGGGGCCCCUUCUCCUAGAUCAUAUCCCAUUCGAAUUUUCUGUCCAUUUGUUCGCUUGUUCUCUCUGUCGAUCAGAAGGUGAAUUUUUUCAUCUGGGUUUAUGGUUAUUAUUUUUCUGUUGUUGAAAAUACAUUUUCCAGUGUUUUCUAUUUAAAUUUUCUGUAUACAUUUUUCGAGAUUUUUAGAAUUUCAUCGCUCGCUCUUUCUGUCGCUCCAAAUGUAAUUUUUUUUAAUCAUUUUUUUUUUGGGGAAGAAAAGUACAUGUUUGCAGUGCUUUUAAUUUAAAAUUUCUGGAUGCAUUUCUAUAGGAUUCUUGAAAUUUUAUGCGAAGUGUGCUUUAUGAUAUUCUCUUUGUUACUUGAUUGUGUUUUUCUAACAAGAGUUUUCUUGAAUUGAUUUCUGUUUGUUGUAUUGAAAUGGAGGUUUCUUUUCUUGAGUUUGAGUGUUGCAUUCUUUGGGUUAUACUCAUUUCUGAUUUGAAAAGUACCUCUUUUCCUAUUUAUUAUGUUCUAGUAAAGUUCUUUAAUUUGAUGCUCUGAUUUAUGAGUUUGAAUUUUUUAUUUUUUAUUUUUGUCAUGAUCUUCCCUUGAAAGAUCAGAUUUCUCUUUGUGCCAAGAUUUAAAUGUGUAUAUUUCAUGGUUAGGGCCUGAGAGUUCUUGUGAGGUGACGUGUCUUAUGCUUCAUGUGCUUGUUUAUCAUAAUUGUGUCGUUCUUUGGAACUGUCCUCACAUUACCAUGUAACCAUAAGCCUGUGCAGUUUUUAUAGAAACUUCUAUUGAUGUAUGGAACUUAUUAGAUUUUUCGAUGGUGGAAUUGGUAAGUCAAUCGGAGAAGGUGGAAUUUCAAUUUAGGAGUUUAGAUUCAAUGUUAAUGGGAUUUGCCGAUUUGGUAUAUGUGGAUUCGAUCUAUGUGAUGAUCUAUUUGGCUGAUUUUGCAUUUUGCCUUUGGUAUGCAAUAGAGAUCUGUAGCUUGAAUAUCGGUUAAUACAAACUUAAAGAACGAAUAGAUAAGUUAGUCAUGGCUUAUCACUAUUUGAUUAUUUUCAAUGUUUACAUUUCCUGCUUAUCUACAUGAUUUGGUGGCGAUCUAAUCUUUAGUGCUAAUUCUAUUAUCUUGCAGGGAUUUUCUAUUGUGAUUGUUAUCACGUCUGCGGAACUACUAGAACAGUAAUUUUGUAAAGCAGGCUGAAAGUACUGAUUUCUUCUUGUCAGCAUAGUUACAGGCUUUCCAGAAACUUCAACUUGCCCUGCUAUGGUAAUUUUUAGGAUUUUUAAUUUUUAUCUGUUACUCUGGAUGUUUUAUGCACCAUCAUCCUGCUACAAAAGUGUGUUUGGUGAAUGGGUUGUUUGCAGCAAGAACCCAACUUAAUGACCAGAAUAUUACAUGUAUGAAGUAAGAAAUGUAGUUGGGAGACAUAUUGAAGUUUGAAUUGGUACGGUGAGAAUGAAUUUGAACACAAUUUUUGCUUUUUGUGAAAAAGAUACCGUUUCCCUUUGUCCCAUGCAAAAAUUCCUAAUAUGGUGGAAUAUGGAUUAGUAAUUUAGAGAAACUGAAGUAGGUAUUUUUGUGCUUGAUUUUGGUAGAUUUCAUUAUGAAUUUGGAAUGGUUUCAGAUCUUUACAUAUUUCCUCUUGUUGAUGUAGGCAACAAAUGAAAAUCUUCCUCCAAAUGUGAUAAAACAGUUGGCAAGAGAACUGAAAAAUCUCGAUGAAACACCACCAGAGGGCAUGUG